rnacentral:lncRNA from 1 species
GGCCGGGGAGAACCGGGCCGUUGGGAAGAAAUUCCGGCGGGACCUGGGCCCGCGGGGGAAGCGUUGGUAAAGCUUCCUCGCGUCGCAGGCCCUGAACGGCGGCGGCUAGGGCCUGGACUUGCUGUACUAAGGCGUUGAACUGUUCCGGCUGGACCUGAGGAACUGGGUCAGCCGGAGUUGGAGAAUUCUGGACGGAGCGUCCAGGACUUUGCGGGGGACGCCGGGAGACGUUGGAGGCUCCCUUACUUCUCAACUUCAUGACUGCUACUCGGGCCCUUCCUCUAGCGCCAACUGUUGCUGGAAAUUGGACCCGGGGGCAAUCUUCGGUCGAGGAG